rnacentral:rRNA from 1 species
GAUGAACGCUGGCGGCGUGCCUAAUACAUGCAAGUCGAGCGAACGGACGAGAAGCUUGCUUCUCUGAUGUUAGCGGCGGACGGGUGAGUAACACGUGGAUAACCUACCUAUAAGACUGGGAUAACUUCGGGAAACCGUAGCUAAUACCGGAUAAUAUUUUGAACCGCAUGGUUCAAAAGUGAAAGACGGUCUUGCUGUCACUUAUAGAUGGAUCCGCGCUGCAUUAGCUAGUUGGUAAGGUAACGGCUUACCAAGGCAACGAUGCAUAGCCGACCUGAGAGGCUGGUCGGCCACACUGGAACUGAGACACGGUCCAGACGCCUACGGGAGGCAGCAGUAGGGAAUCUGCCGCAAUGGGCGAAAGCCUGACGGAGCAACGCCGCGUGAGUGAUGAAGGUCUUCGGAUCGUAAAACUCUGUUAUUAGGGAAGAACAUAUGUGUAAGGAACUGUGCACAUCUUGACGGUACCUAAUCAGAAAGCCACGGCUAACUACGUG